rnacentral:lncRNA from 1 species
AAAAAUCCAAAUAAAAAGAAGACAUAAAAAAUACAUUAAAAAUCAAAAUGAAUAAAUAAAUACAAAUCAUUUAAAACAUAAAGAAAUUCAAACCUCUUAUAUUCAAAGAUUCCAACCCAAAACAUUCAAAAAAAAAUAAAAUCUCAACCAAUAUUUCAUCAAAACUUUCAAAUCCAAAAUCUUCCCUUCAUUCAUUCAAAGUCUUCAUAAUGAGAAAUUAAGUUUUUCA